CGACGUGGGAAUCUACCUAGUAGUGGGGGAUAGCCAGAAGAAAUUCUGAAUAAUACCGCAUACGCCCUACGGGGGAAAGAGGCCCUCUUCUUGAAAGGUCUCACUAUUAGAUGAGCCCGCGUUAGAUUAGCUAGAUGGUGAGGUAAGAGCUCACCAUGGCGACGAUCUAUAGCUGGUCUGAGAGGAUGAUCAGCCACAUUGGGACUGAGACACGGCCCAG
rnacentral:rRNA from 1 species